UGAAAGCAAGACCGAGAGAUCAUCCUAUGAUGUUUUCAGUAGCUUCUACUGUGCGAUGGUUUGGUUUUACAUCCACAUAGAUUUUAUUGCGUUAUAGAUUUUAUGGCGGAUGAACAGUACACGGGUGAACAGUAGAAAAGUAGAUGUUUGGGGGAACCACAAGCAAAAUAAUUGUCUGUUUGAUUUCUUCCUUAACCAAAGGGAUACAAUAUAUAUCUUGUGAUAGCAGCACCUAACAAACUAAACAACUCUAAUCAGGAGUUCCAAACUAAUGCUUAUCCGUUUUAAACAAACUAACUAAUGUUUAUUCAUUUAAACAAACUAACCUAUACUUAUCUAUCUAAACAAACUAACUGAUUUUAUAUAGGGAGAAUUACAUGCCGCACCACAGUUUUUGCGCACAACUCAUCGCUAGCCACAGAUUUUACCCAUACUCGUUUUUCACCCCGGUGUGCCAUGCAGUGCUCAACUUUGCCAUCCCACGCCGUUUCCGUCGUGUUGGCGUUACUGUCAUGUGGGUCCCAGCCUGGCCAGCGGUGCUCAACUGUGCCAACAAUUCCCCAAUCCAAAAUCGCCAGACCUUCACGCGCUGGGAGGUGGAGUCCUCCCGCCGUCGCGCCGGGAGGUGGAGGAGUCCCGCCGUCGCCGCCCACUGUCCCCCCGUCGGCCCGUCGCCACACCCCCACCUCUACAGAGGCGAAGAGGAGCAGGGCGAGGUCCCAGUCCUCCCGCCGUCGGCAAAUCCCGCCGGCGACGCCCCCCCCCCCCCACGCCACCGACGGGUCGUGCCCUCCUCCCUCGCUCAAUGUGCGUCCUCGCAACCCCACCGUCCUCGCAACCCCACUGUCCUCAACCCCGUUGACAGAUCGGCGCGCGGAGGGAGCAGGGCGAAGGCGAGGGCGAAGAGGAGCAGGGCGAGGGCGAAGAGGAGCAGGGCGAGCUCUGGAGUAGCCCCGUCGUGGAUCUGGUGGCCUCUCCGCGCAGAGGGCGAGGGCGUCGGAUUGGCGGCGUGGAUCUCCCUUCCCUCGCUCUGAAAGGUAUCUUAGGGUUCUCGCAGUGAAACUCGCAGUGAAAUUUCAACAUCCAAUAGCCUGAAGUUGUCAUCCAUUAAAGUACUUGACACUCAUCCUGCACAGUGAAAUUUCAACAUCCAGUAAAGUAUACACUCGAAAUUUUCAUGGGUAUGAGACUAGUUGGAUUACAAGAUGAGUGAAAUUACUUGACACUCAUCUUUAGGGACCUUGUUCUUAGGGUUCUCUCUGUUCUUAAGUAUCAGGUCCAAUUAUGUACAUUACUUGCAGCCUGAAGUUGUUUGUUACUGUUGUUGUAGCCUGAAUCACAUGUCGCGUGCGAGUAGUUCGUCGAACAGACGACAUCAAUGGCCUCAGUAUGGGACAGUGCCACUUAUGCGCUGCCCCGAGUGUGAACGGCCAGAGCCUCUUUUGCGGCUCACAUCGAGGAAAACUGAGAAUGGCAACUAUGGUCGUGAGUUCGUGAAGUGCCCAUGGAAGGAUUUGCGAAAAUGUGACUUCUUCAUGUGGCUGGAUGAUUAUAUGAAGAUGAUAGAAGCAGAAGGGUUGGCGGGCGGUCCAAAUGAAUACAUUGGGCACCAACAUGUGGCAACUGCUAACGCGAAAGCAAUUAGUGACCUGAUCGCUGAAGUUAAGAAGGUGAAUCACAACUUGAGCGAGAUGAAGAAGAUUGUUGGAGCUUUUUGCGCUACUAUGAUUUUAAUUUCCUCGCUUUUCUUUGUGAUGAAAUGUAAUUGAAAGCAUUUAAUUUGAAGUGUGGCAGGUUUGUGUGUUGUAUUGAUGUGUGAACUUUUCUAGUGCAUGCUAUGUAGUGAUUGGUGAUCUGUGUUGUAGUGAUGUGUGAACAAUAUAUGCUAGUCUGGCACUUUGUCUGGAAUAUUUGAGUCUGGCACUGUCUGGAAUAUUUGAGUUGGCAUGUUGUCUGGAAUAUAUGCUAGUGCAUGCUGUGUGAA